rnacentral:piRNA from 1 species
UUUCCCUUUAAAAAUUCAUCG